rnacentral:tRNA from 3 species
GCUGGUAUGGCUCAGUCGGUAGAGCACGUCAUUGGUAAUGACGAGGUCAUCAGUUCGAUUCUGAUUACCAGCUCCA